CUCCUGGUGGCGGUAGUGGGCGAAUUUUUUGCGAUCCGUCAAAAAAACGAAGAAGACGGCUUUCAGCGGCGGCACAGCAGAUGAGUGGAAGAGGUUAUGGAUACUGAAGAGCAUAAGCAGGUUAUGUUGGGAAGGGCAAGCGAGGCGAGCUCCGUGGAAUUUACUCGGAAGCAAUGCAUCCGGGAUUUUGCAGUGUCCACUACAUGCAUGUCUAUUGUGCUGAAUGAAUGAUUGUACAUAAUUUGAUUCAUCAGAAAUAAAAUCUUUUACCCACCCUGA